rnacentral:misc_RNA from 1 species
AAGUCGUAACAAGGUAACCGUAGGUGAACCUGCGGUUGGAUCAUUAAUAAAUGAUUAUCCCACUGGGUUGCUGGACUCCGGUUCACCCUGGUGGGGUAUAAACCUAUUGUGCACCAUGAUGUUUUUUGGGUGGGUAGUUGGUUGAAAAACCGACUUGCCCGCCCAACCACUAAACCCCUUAAAUUUGGCUGAGAAGUAAAUUGUUAAUAGCAAACAACUUUUGACAACGGAUCUCUUGGCUCUC